rnacentral:rRNA from 1 species
AUUGAGCGCUGGCGGCAGGCCUAACACAUGCAAGUCGAGCGGAUGACGGGAGCUUGCUCCUUGAUUCAGCGGCGGACGGGUGAGUAAUGCCUAGGAAUCUGCCUGGUAGUGGGGGACAACGUUUCGAAAGGAACGCUAAUACCGCAUACGUCCUACGGGAGAAAGCAGGGGACCUUCGGGCCUCGCGCUAUCAGAUGAGCCUAGGUCGGAUUAGCUAGUAGGUGGGGUAAUGGCUCACCUAGGCGACGAUCCGUAACUGGUCUGAGAGGAUGAUCAGUCACACUGGAACUGAGACACGGUCCAGACUCCUACGGGAGGCAGCAGUGGGGAAUAUUGGACAAUGGGCGAAAGCCUGAUCCAGCCAUGCCGCGUGUGUGAAGAAGGUCUUCGGAUUGUAAAGCACUUUAAGUUGGGAGGAAGGGCAGUAAGUUAAUACCUUGCUGUUUUGACGUUACCGACAGAAUAAGCACCGGCUAACUCUGUGCCAGCAGCCGCCGUAA